rnacentral:sRNA from 1 species
CUCCUUACACAAACCACGAACCUGUGCCCGGCCUCCUUUGCUUACAGUCAGAGUCGAGACCGAGGCAGUUCGAGCUAUUCAUGGAAGCCAUCACAAUCUUUACCACGAUGAUUAUCCUAUCGACAGGUUCCAGACAGAACCGGCCCAGCGCGAAGCCGAGAUCGCCCCCUUAAAAGGGCUGAGCUUGGUGCGUAGCGACUGGUGAUUUCCGGAGGCGCUAUAUUCCAAAACCGUUUGCCCAGGCCAUUGGUCCAUGAGGCGGGGGUAAACCAUACGUCUACAGAU